rnacentral:rRNA from 1 species
GAUGAACGCUGGCGGCGUGCUUAACACAUGCAAGUCGAACGGUGAAGCAGGAGCUUGCUCUUGUGGAUCAGUGGCGAACGGGUGAGUAACACGUGAGCAACCUGCCCCUGACUCUGGGAUAAGCGCUGGAAACGGCGUCUAAUACUGGAUAUGUGAUGUGACCGCAUGGUCUGCAUCUGGAAAGACGUUCGGUUGGGGAUGGGCUGGCGGCCUAUCAGCUUGUUGGUGAGGUAAUGGCUCACCAAGGCGUCGACGGGUAGCCCGUCCGAGAGGAGGACCGGCCACGCUGGGACUGUGACACAGCCCAGACUCCUACGGGAGGCAGCAGUGGGGGAUAUUGCACAAUGGGCGGAAGCCUGAUGCUGCAACGCCGCGUGAGGGAUGACGGGCGUCGGGUUGUAAACCUCUUAUAGCAGGGAAGAAGCGAAAGUGACGGUACCUGCAGAAGAAGCACCGGCUAACUACGUGCCAGCAGCCGCAGUAA